rnacentral:sRNA from 1 species
UUAGGUUAAUAAAUAUUACCGAAGACAGUAGGUGGCGUAAGCCUUAAAAUACCUGCCGAGGAUGAAUAUAUGUGAAAGCAUACAACUAUCCCUCUAUGUCUAAGGUGACAUGGGGCUUUUUGCUUUGAAUC